GACGAACGCUGGCGGCGUGCCUAAUACAUGCCAGUAGAACGCUGAAGCUUGGUGCUUGCACCGAGCGGAUGAGUUGCGAACGGGUGAGUAACGCGUAGGUAACCUGCCUGGUAGCGGGGGAUAACUAUUGGAAACGAUAGCUAAUACCGCAUAAGAGUAGAUGUUGCAUGACAUUUGCUUAAAAGGUGCAAUUGCAUCACUACCAGAUGGACCCGCGUUGUAUUAGCUAGUUGGUGAGGUAACGGCUCACCAAGGCAACGAUACAUAGCCGACCUGAGAGGGUGAUCGGCCACACUGGGACUGAGACACGGCCCAGACGCCUACGGGAGGCAGCAGUAGGGAAUCUUCGGCAAUGGACGGAAGUCUGACCGAGCAACGCCGCGUGAGUGAAGAAGGGUUUCGGAUCGUAAAGCUCUGUUGUAAGAGAAGAACGAGUGUGAGAGUGGAAAGUUCACACUGUGACGGUAUCUGACCAGAAAGGGACGGCUAACUACGUG
rnacentral:rRNA from 1 species